ACGCAAUAGAUACCCGGGUAGUCCACGCCCUAAACGAUGUCAACUAGUUGUCGGGGAUUAAUUUCCUUGGUAAACGCAGCUAAACGCGUGAAAGUUGACCGCCUGGGGAGUACGGUCGCAAGAUUAAAACUCAAAGGAAUUGACGGGGACCCGCACAAGCGGUGGAUGAUGUGGAUUAAUUCGAUGCAACGCGAAAAACCUUACCUACCCUUGACAUGGAAGGAAGCCGGGAGAGAUUUCGGCGUGCCCGAAAGGGAACCUUCGCACAGGUGCUGCAUGGCUGUCGUCAGCUCGUGUCGUGAGAUGUUGGGUUAAGUCCCGCAACGAGCGCAACCCUUGUCAUUAGUUGCUACGAAAGGGCACUCUAAUGAGACUGCCGGUGACAAACCGGAGGAAGGUGGGGAUGACGUCAAGUCCUCAUGGCCCUUAUGGGUAGGGCUUCACACGUCAUACAAUGGUACAUACAGAGGGCUGCCAACCCGGCGAGGGGGUAGCUAAUCCCAGAAACGUGUAUCGUAGUCCGGAUUGGAGUCUGCAACUCGACUCCAUGAAGUU
rnacentral:rRNA from 1 species